rnacentral:lncRNA from 10 species
GAUGACUCUGUGCACCUACCAAGGAAGGAGAUGCCACAGGAGCCAGUAAAGUAUUUCCUUGGUGGUCAGGAACAAGGUCUAUUAGCACAGGUGCCACCCUUAGAGUUCCCAGUGCAUCAUCAGCCUGGGGAUCAUGUCCUCAUCAAGAGCUGGAAAGAGGAGAAGCCUGAGCCAGCCUGGGAAUCUCAUUACUUACUGCUCCUCACUACUGAAACCGC